ACCUUCCUUGGCAACCGGCCUUGGCAACCGGCCUUGGCAACCGGCCUUGGAAACCGACCUUGGCAACCGGCCUUAGCAACCGGCCCAGAAACCACCCCUGGAAACUGUCCAUAGCAACUGCCCCGGCAACUAUCCCAGCAACUGUCCCUAGCAACCACCCUGGCAACCAUCCCAGCAACUGUCCCUAGCAACCACCCUGGCAACCAUCCCAGCAACCAUCCCAGCAACUGUCCCUAGCAACCACCCCAGCAACCAUCCCAGCAACCAUCCCUGGAAACCAUCUCUAGCAACUGCCCCUGGCAACCACCCCUGGCAACCACCCCUGUGGGUGCCAACCCCCUGGUUCAACCCCACGAGGCUGAGCCCCAUUUCACACGCUGCUCAGCUCAUCUGAAGCUGUUAUGUCGUGCACCUGGAACAGUCUGGGGUGAUUUUUUAAAGCCUGGCACGGAGACCAAGGGAGUUGGCAGGGACCACGUGCAGCUGUGCACACCAGGACAAGGAUUUUGGAAAACCUGCUCUGUGCCACCCAGAGAUCCCCAUCUGCAGUGUCUCCAGUGGAUAACACAGAUGAUAUACCUGCCUGAUUUGCAAGAAGCAAUGAGAGGCAAUAACAGACCAUCACUGGGAUGCUUCUGACCCCUUGCACACACAGGCACCCCCAUGUCCUCCAGCUGCACCAUCCUCCCUACAAUCCCUCUCUGCCAGCAAUAGCUGUGAUGCCACUGUGGUGCCAGGUGAAGGUAUUUGGCAGCAGACAGACAUGAGUCAUCUCACCUACUGAAACCUUCCCAUCAUCGAGUCAUGCAAGCCCUCAGACAGAACGGGCAGCAUCCCAUCAAUUCUGGACAUGGUAAAGUCAAUAUGAGAAAUCUGGCAGGUGGAGCUCAUGCUGACACCUCAUUUUGAACUCCUCUGAACUGUCCUGGUCUUCUUGGCAUGAAGGUUCUGUGUUUGUUUUAAUGGGGC
rnacentral:lncRNA from 1 species